rnacentral:rRNA from 1 species
GCGCGAUUGAAUGAGCCGAUGUCGGAUUAGCUAGUUGGCGGGGUAAAGGCCCACCAAGGGACGAUCCGUAGCUGGUCUGAGAGGAUGAUCAGCCACACUGGAACUGAGACACGGUCCAGACUCCUACGGGAGGCAGCAGUGGGGAAUAUUGGACAAUGGGCGCAAGCCUGAUCCAGCCAUACCGCGUGGGUGAAGAAGGCCUUCGGGUUGUAAAGCCCUUUUGUUGGGAAAGAAAUCCAGCCGGCUAAUACCCGGUUGGGAUGACGGUACCCAAAGAAUAAGCACCGGCUAACUUCGUGCCAGCAGCCGCGGUAAUACGAAGGGUGCAAGCGUUACUCGGAAUUACUGGGCGUAAAGCGUGCGUAGGUGGUCGUUUAAGUCCGUUGUGAAAGCCCUGGGCUCAACCUGGGAACUGCAGUGGAUACUGGGCGACUAGAGUGUGGUAGAGGGUAGCGGAAUUCCUGGUGUAGCAGUGAAAUGCGUAGAGAUCAGGAGGAACAUCCAUGGCGAAGGCAGCUACCUGGACCA